CGGCGGACGGGUGAGUAACGCGUAGGAAUCUACCUGGUAGUGGGGGACAACAUGGGGAAACCCAUGCUAAUACCGCAUACGCCCCAAGGGGGAAAGCGGGGGACCUUCGGGCCUCGCGCUAUCAGAUGAGCCUGCGUAGGAUUAGCUUGUUGGUGAGGUAAAGGCUCACCAAGGCGACGAUCCUUAGCUGGUCUGAGAGGAUGAUCAGCCACACUGGAACUGAGACACGGUCCAG
rnacentral:rRNA from 1 species